GUAGGGAAUUUUCGGCAAUGGGCGAAAGCCUGACCGAGCAACGCCGCGUGAACGAAGAAGGUCUUCGGAUCGUAAAGUUCUGUUAUUGAGGAAGAGCGAUAUUUAUAGGGAAUGAUAAAUAAGAGACGGUACUCAAUGAGGAAGCCACGGCUAACUACGUGCCAGCAGCCGCGGUAAUACGUAGGUGGCGAGCGUUAUCCGGAAUUAUUGGGCGUAAAGAGGGAGCAGGCGGUAAAAAAGGUCUUGCGCUAAAAGGCAUCGGCUUAACCGGUGUAAGGCGGAGAAACCGUUUUACUAGAGUUCUAUAGAGGAUCGUGGAAUUCCAUGUGUAGCGGUGAAAUGCGUAGAUAUAUGGAGGAACACCAGUGGCGAAGGCGACGAUCUGGAUAGAAACAGACGCUGAGUCCCGAAAGCGUGGGGAGCAAAUAGG
rnacentral:rRNA from 1 species